UAUAUAAUUGAAUCAUGCAUAGUUGCAUACAAAAACUUCAUGGGUAACAUCAUGAAUUAUGAGCAACACCUCUUUAAAAUUUAAAUCAAUAAGUCGACGAAUGCUCUGAAGUUGCUGUUAUUUGUUGCCAACGGAUUUUUUAUUUUCUGUUUAUAUUUGAUACACAUCACCAUGCCACCGAAAGGAAAAGGAAAGAGAGCUACUUCGAAAUCAGAUAUUGUUCGUAUUGACCCAAAAAGACAUGAGGCAAAGUUAAAGGAAAUCGAGGAGAGGCACAUUGCAGAAGCUUUGGCCGCUCAAGAGGAAGCCUUAGAGGAAGAGUUACUAGAUCAAGAGGAAAUGUGCGAAGAAGAAGAUGCAGUAGAGGAACAGUGGUCUGAUAUUGAAUCACCUCUCGACGUAGGACACAUAGACCUAUCGUUCACAGAGACUGCCUAUGAGUUUGCAAAUUCGCCUCAAUGCUAUCCACCAAGUUAUUAUAUGUUGUUGCCUAAGGAACGCAUUUUACUAUUAUAUGCUGAAAAUUUCCGCAAGCAAUUCGCAACACUUUAUCCAGAGAGAAGACCUCUAGUAUUAGCCUUAACAAAUGAAUGCAAUGUUCAGAAAUUUGUUUGCACUACAAUACGACCAACGGCAUUCAUACACAUUCCUUUGAUUGGCAGUGAAAUAGAAUGCGCCAAAUUUGUCGCUGACUUCAUUAUAUAUGAACCCUUAGAGGACAUGAUGAAAUUCCCAACGCGUUUAACAUCACCAGAAACCACUCUUCGAAAACGUCGAGGAAAUAGUUUUGAAAUGGCUACUUUGCUUUGUAGCAUGCUAAUUGGUGCAGGUUACCCCGCAAUGGUAGUAUCUGGGGUGGCACGUGCAGAGACAGUUUCUAAUGAUCAACGUAAUGUCCCAUAUCCCCACCAAAUUAAAGAGAUCAAGACCGAAGAAAAGGAAAAUCCAAAAACCGGGACUGGACAAAAAUACAAACUUCGUAGCAUGCCGGAUUUAGAAAGCCACCUAGAAGAGAAUAUGGUAGAAAUGAUGAAACAAAAAGAAGAAGACGAAAAACGAUUGCGAGAAGAAGCAGAACGUUUAGAGUUGGAGGAAAUGGAAUUGAUUGCUGUAGACCGAUAUCAUUUUCGACGAUCUCAUGCCUGGGUUGUCAUUGUUGACAACGCCCCAUGGAGUAUUAAGCCAAAAAAUACGUACACAAACGACGAAGGUGAUGAGGUACCUGAACCACCAAAAGCACGUUUCAUUGAGCCUUCCACAGGUUUUAUUUGUGGUACUCAUUGCAAGCAAUACAUUGUUAUUGACAGUGUGUGGGAUCAUCAAAAUUAUUAUGUGAACAUGCAGAAUUACCAAAGGGUCAGUGAAAUACGGUGGAAUUUACAAGAUAACCAUGAUUGGGAACAUCUUCUCCCAGGAGAGCCACCUGAAAUGCGUUUGUAUACUUUAGGAUCUGACGAAAAUAUCUCCGAAAGCAUAAGAUCGUUAGGAGAAGAAAAACAUUUAGACACAAUACGGUCCUGGGUACAUAAACUACAUAUUGGUCUGAAAGAAUUCGAAGAAAGAUUUCCUCACUUGCAAAAAACCAUUCAUUACUCUGGUGCGGUCCACGAACGAUUUUCGCCAUAUUCUCAACGUGAUGGCAAAUCUGAACAAUUAACCCUCUACAACGAUAACGAGUAUAAAGAACCACACAUUCGGUGGGAAUAUUAUCAAAAUAGGUCAGAUUUGCUACAGCAAAUUAAAAUAUUUUUUGAAAACGGAAAAAUUGAAGAAACAUUUCUUAAAGGUCGAAACGACAGCCUUCGGUUUAUGGAGUACAACCGUGAUCCUAAUGAACCAAAAACAUUACAUUUUUAUCCAGACACUAGAGUAGACUCCUUGAAAAGCCUCUCCGUUAGCAGUGAGAGAAUUGUUCUUAAUUACAGUAACCGAGCCGAUCAGUGUACUUUAAAGGAAUUCGAAUUUAAACCAGGGGGACAAGUUCUAAAGAAAACAAUUGAAAAAUUUAAGCGUCAGACUAUUGGAAAUGUACCGGCAUAUAAAGACAUUGCAGUGCGAAUGAUCGAUUUUGACCAUGGCAAAAUAUUACUAAACUUUCACUAUGCCCUUGGAGCCUUGACCUCAUCAACAUUAUCAUUUACCAAACCAGCAAAACCAGAUUAUGGACACGAAAUAAAAUUUGAUCCUCAACUUACAAAAUCCUACAAAGCAAAUCUUUCCGAUCCUGAUCCUACGCCUUUAGAACUGUACAAGCUAUUAUUAGACGAACUAAAACACGAAGAUAAAGUCAAAAAGCAAUUUGAUAAAAUUAUUGAAGAAAUCAAUGGAAUAUUUGAUCUUCGAAGGCAAGAAAUAAAAUAUCCUGUUUUGAAAUUUAGUAUAUUUGAUCCCUUGCGUAACGGAGCGGCUAGAGAAUUACAAAUGAGAAAGCCGUUCACAAUAGGAAAAUGGUUCUAAAAUGUGUAAAACAAAACUUGGUAGCACUCAGCAAGCGGCGAAAGAAUUUUUAAUGAGCUGCUGAAGAAGAAGCGUUUAAACUUGAGAUGUCUAGAAAACCUGCAGAUUUCUUAGUCCCAUAUUUGAUACCUUACAAAACUCGAUCACUUACAUAUGAAGAAUCAUGGGCAGCUUACAACGCUUGUUUAUAUGAACUUAAAACCCGGUUUGUGGGACUCUUAAACGACCUUCAACGUCAAUACGAAGAUCUUACUGCUGAAGCAAAAUCUCUUGAACGGUUUUUAAACAAAUUUGAAGAUCAGUUUGAUAACUAUAAUUAUGAGAAACUUGUGGAGCAAUCCGGCGUCAUUGCUUUACACAAGCGAAUGAUUCAACAACGUUUGACGUUAACACAUGAAGAAUCACAAAAGAAAUAUGAUACUGUGAAAAAAUCUCUUUUGAGAGAUCAUCGUCUCAAUUUAAAGCGUACAUCCAAUGGAGAGGAUUAGAUAUACAUAAUUCCUUGAAUACGCCAAGUCACUUAAAUUUGUACAAAUUACUAUUUUUUUAGAUUAAUAAUCCUUAUAAAAUGUUUUGUGCUAUUUCA